rnacentral:rRNA from 1 species
GAUGAACGCUGGCGGCGUGCCUAAUACAUGCAAGUCGAGCGAACAGACGAGGAGCUUGCUCCUCUGACGUUAGCGGCGGACGGGUGAGUAACACGUGGAUAACCUACCUAUAAGACUGGGAUAACUUCGGGAAACCGGAGCUAAUACCGGAUAACAUGUUGAACCGCAUGGUUCAACAGUGAAAGACGGUUUUGCUGUCACUUAUAGCUGGAUCCGCGCCGCAUUAGCUAGUUGGUAAGGUAACGGCUUACCAAGGCAACGAUGCGUAGCCGACCUGAGAGGAUGAUCGGCCACACUGGAACUGAGACACGGUCCAGACUCCUACGGGAGGCAGCAGUAGGGAAUCUUCCGCAAUGGGCGAAAGCCUGACGGAGCAACGCCGCGUGAGUGAAGAAGGUCUUCGGAUCGUAAAACUCUUUUAUUAGGGAAGAACAAAUGUGUAAGUAACUAUGCACGUCUUGACGGUACCUAAUCAGAAAGCCACGGCUAACUACGUG